GUGCGGUUCAUGGACAGCGACCGCGAGGCGCCGGCGGCGGUGCCUGGGGCGAAUCUCGGGACGGUACCGGCGCAGGAGGCGUCCUCCGGCUGGCGAUGGCAAGACGAUCUCCAGCAGAGCUUCGAGCUAUGACCAUGAAAUACAUCGUGGGCAACAUCAUCGGUUUUGUCCAUCGGUCGAUAAGUCAUCCAUCCAUAGCUGGCGGCCGGCCAAGGCGGCUGCGACCCCGAGUCCUUCUGCCACUGGAAGAACUACUCCGACGACGACGGCAUGAACGACGACGACGGUAUGUUAGGGCAGAGCAGACACGUGUACGAAGUCACGGUCUGCUACAAGUUAGUCUCCUAGUUUUUUUCGAAAGUCUUUUAGUUAAACGAAUGAAAAUUUGUCCGUUUUAUGUAAAUUAUGUCCCAACUUUAAUCAGUUCCAUUGUGUU